AAACACACAAAAGGGGAUCAUUCUUGGUCAUCAUCUUCAUCUUUUCUUCUUAAAAAGGGAGGAUAACUUUUCAUUAAGGGAGCACACUGUCACUCCCUACACAGACCCCUCACAAUUCCAUCCCAUCUUCACAAAAUACACCAUACCCACACAUCACACAAAGAAACACCCAUAUCGUCGCACACGGAAUACAAAAAAAAAUUGUCGAUUUCACCGUAAUAUGUGAAUAUCCAAUCGACGAUGACAAAGGGAUAGGGAGAGUAGAGGAAGGAGCACGAUUUUCACGGCGGGUCACUGUUCCGGUGACGUUCAGCUAGAGCUAAGCUUUUUCCGACGAAUCUUUCGCCGGAAUCGGUCAUUGAGUCGGUCGGUUUUAGGUACCGCGGGUUCGAAUUCCGUCCUAGUCCCUGGAUACCAUAAAAUCUCUUAGUUUCCUUGGGUGUUCAGUUGAAAUCUCAUCGGAAAAGGGUAAUUUUGUCGGAAUUCGAUCCGUCUAAACUCACCGGAGCUCUGAUCUAGACGGGUUUUCAGUUUUGUUCUUUUGUAUUUUUGAGCUUUGGGUCAAACUCUGCUUGGAUUGCGGAGUAUUGAGGUCGGAUUGAGUUCGUAUUGAGGUUUUGUUCGAGGUUUCCGGGCGCGGACUCUCUUUAAUUGAAUAACAUAGUUUGAAACCCUCAAUUUCAGGAGCCUGCCUGAAGAACAGGGCGAAUAAAUGGAAAUCCAAGCAACAAAGCGAAGAAGUUAAAAGUCAAGCAACAAGGUGAAGAAGUUGAAAACAAAGCAAUAAGGUGAAAAGAUGAAAGUUAACGGAUUGAAAAAAUAGCAAGUCAGGAGCCCGCCUGAAGAACAGGGUGAAGAAUUGAAAGUUAAGCAAUGAGGUGAAGCAUUUGAAAGCCAAACAACAAGUUGAAGAAAUUUCAAGUCAGGAGUCCGCUUAAAGAACAGGGUGAUGAAGUAGCAAGUCAAGAGUCAAGAAAAGCUGCAUAGAUAGAGUUUUUGUAAUUUCACUUAUGUUUUAAGUAGUAAUUUUCAUUUUUGAUGUAAUGACAGAGCUGUGGACCGAAACCUCGAUGGAACCUCACUCAACUCUCCAACUCGGUAUAGCCCUUCUCCUUCCUUUGGAAGUACCUGUGACGGGUUUCUUUCAUAACUUGGGUAGGUAGGAUGCCCUAAGUCAAGACCUGUUUUCCC